UAACUCAGUAGGUUAGAGCAUGGUGCUAAUAACGCCAAGGUUGCAGGUUCGAUCCCUGU
rnacentral:tRNA from 1 species